rnacentral:lncRNA from 1 species
GCGCCCCGGGGGAGCGCAAAUCUCUGUAGGAGUCCUUCGGACCAGUCAGUAGUGGACCGUCAAAUAUAGGUGCCCGGAGAUGCCGGUAAAGGUCUGGCAGAGUAGAAAGCGAUGGAUAAGAAGACAUACCUACGGCAACGAACCUACGGCAAAGAAUGUCCUACUAAUUAAGCUAGUCCGGACCCUUAAUUAUCCUUUCCCAUUCAGUUACUCUAGAAACUAAGAAUGACUCAACCUCUGCCGAAAGAUCUCAUUCAACCUAUUCCUCUUUCUUCUGAGAAUACGAACUGACCUGACUCUCCUUUCUUCCGCAACUGAGAAUGGAUGAACGGAUAGCUUGCUCAAUCAGGAAUUCCCUGACUCUUGAUCUAGCUUAUUCCGAAACCUCUCAUACUCACUCAUUCAACUCCAUAUCUGGCCGACUCUUUCUUGUUUUCAUGUGCAAGGGAAAGAGCAAUCUUUGAACCUUGAAUCACGUCUUAUCGUACUCAGACUCUGCCUCAACGGAAACAGAGUGAGACUUGUACUUAUUCCGAUCCGAUACACAGUUGAGUAGGCCGAUCACGAACGCUAUUUUCAUACAAUAGCUUAAGGAAAGCCCUAACCCAAGAAAAAACUAGGUCUCGUAUCCACUCUCUUCUCCCGAUCCUUAUUCCGAUGACUCAGGACUAUGAAACUUCUCCUUCAACGGAUGAGGCUUGAGGUCUACGCUGGAGACGGAGGAGUCGGCAGAGGAGAAAGGGAAUAAGUCGAUGUGCCGGGGAUAGAUAUGACUUCCCCAACUAAGGAUCUUCGUUCCCAAGCUUCUUCUUAGAAGUACGGAUGAAAGAGAAGGGGACGCCGUCUCAAGCAUGAAAACGAAAGUCAGGUCGGAAGAAAGGACUAAGGGCUUUCUUCUUUCAUUGCUUAACACAUUCAUUCAUUUCCAAAAGCCCGUAGGCUCCGGACUCCGUAGGAGGUUCUUUUAAGUAGGUAACUUGCCGUAGGUAGCGCCUCUCCGCCCCGUGGGAGUCUCGCCCUUUUUCUCUCCUUCUAGAACUACGUCUCCUUUCUGAUAACCUCGAUUAGCACGAUUUGUCUUAGGUCAAAUGGACAAAACCCACUACGCGGUUUUCCUUGAACCUCAAAUACCUUGAUUUUAGAUAGAGAUCUCGUUUAUUAAUUAGCAUAAAGAGAAGAAAUGGAUGUUGGUCGGAACAUGGAGGUUUGAAUACGCUUUUCACAUCCCUACAAAGAACCUCCUCACCCACUACGCGGCACUUCGCCCGCGAAAGAACUUCCUAUUUUUGAUUUACCUUUUUUUUAGAAUGAAAGAACGGCCACUGCUGCCCUUUCAACUCAACCGGUCCGUGGUAGCUUAAUUUGAGCCCAGAAGGCAUUACAUAAGUUCAGCUAGAAAGCUCGACCUUAAUAAAAGAAGUACACAAGCGGAAAGAGUGAAAUAUCGGAUCACUCGCGCUAGGAAUUUGUCUUAUUCAUUCUUUGAAUCCGUGCGUGGUUCGAUCGUCUCAUUCAUGCUCUAAGGCUAAAAGAAGGGCAUAUUUAUUCAUUUCCUUGGAUGAAAAUCAAGAACCUUCUUUAUACCCUUUAAUUGAGUGAAAGGCCUUGAUAUUGGCCUUACGAUCUCUAAGCGCAUUCCCGCUCCGUGGGGAUCGAACUACUAACGACAAAAGCAAGGACAACUAAGACGAGAUCAACUGCCUAAAGAGAUACUGAAUCCACAGAUUCUGAUUCCGAAACAACCGCUACGUGGGGUUGAGUGCCCCUUCGUUCGGGCUUCUAAUCCGCGAGUCGAAUUAUUUCAUUCCUCCACGGUUGGGUCCUGGUGUCUAACCCUUUGGCUUGUGCGUCUUUGACCUCAUGCUUCCGCUUCCCGGGAUUUGUACUACGUUAAGGAAGACUCCGUAGGCGUAGUCGUAGGAGGCGUAGGACGUAGGAGGACGUCGUAGUAGGAGAUUCUUUUCCGGUCCGAAGUAGCUUAAUUAGUCGACGUAGGAGGAUAGGCUUUCUUCCUUGAUGGUCUUUUUGAUAGUUGAUAGGCAAAUCUUUUCUUCCAAAUAGUAGGCUCGCGUAGAAGGCUCGAGGAUAGAGGUUCUUUUUAGUAGGUUUAGGAGAAGGACGUAGAAGGAGGAUAGGCUUUCCUCUUCCUUUAACUUCCUUUAAUCCUUUCUCAGUCGCUUCCCGGUCCGUGGUAGCUUAAUUCGCCCAACACUAAAUAGUACUGAUCCGGGAUAGCGAUCCCGGUCGUUCUACCCGGACCACCCUUUACUCUGACUUUCUCUUUCCCUUGAACGAGAACAAAAAAAGCUUUGUAGAGAGAACAGAAAAGUGGGACUCUGAAAUCUGGGUUAAUAUGGAUAGUCCGGAGGCGCAAAGAAUAUUGCGGAAAAGUCAAGAAAAGAAGAAUGAACUCAUUAACGAUAAUGAAAGAAGAAAAAAAUGGGAAUGAAAAAGAAAGAGGUGAAUAUGGGAGAUUUCAGACUAGUCCUUCGCGGAGGGAAAUACAAGAUUUUGCUAGGUUUUGGGCCUAUAAAGUAGCAAGAAAAGACAAAAAAUCAGUCAAAAUUGAUCUAUUUUCGUUAGAUAAGAAAAGUCGAAAAAGUCCUAUUUAGAAGCAAAAAAGCCGGGAAAACGCAAUGAAAGAAUCAAGCCUAUAAAAGAAAUUCAAUGUGCAAACUUCUAGUUUGAGUUUCUGGUCCGGAUACUGACGGGUCUAUUCUUGAUUCCGCGUAGGAGAAAGAAGACAAAGAGUGAAGCUUCUGUGGAAAAUUCUCAUUCUUUGCGCCUCGAUCAUUCUUUGAGCCUCCCUGGACUCGCAAAAUCAAAUGCAGAUGCGUGUCUUGGAGCCCUUUUAGCUCUUGUUUCUAUUUAUUUAGGACGUAUGUAUGCAAAUUACAUAGAUGUCCGUUUGGGGGUUCUAAUACCAAUCUUUUUUAUACUUGUUAUCUUUGAAAAGAUUUUUCAUCAAGAUGAGAUUCUUUCUUUUCUGGCCUUUGUUCUGAAAUAUUCUUUGAACCCUUUAUUCACUUCGUUGCACUCCCGUAGUUAGGCGCAAAGAAUUUGCGAAGGACUCGUUUUCUCUUCUUUUCUUAGAAUUUUGCAGUCGCCUUUGUUCAUUGAUUCCUUUUAGUCGACUUUCUUCGAACCGCCCCUUAGAAUUUGGAGUCGAGUUCUUUCUAAAUAUAACGGCUCCUUCUUAUAUUCUCAUUCAGUCCUUAUUCAAAAAGAUCCCUGCUGUUGCCUCUCCUUAGAAUUUGGAGUCGAGUUAUUUCAUAAUGCACUCCUUCACAGUCCUUUCGCUUCUCCCCUCUCCUUACAGUCGAGUUAUUUCAUAACCUCCGGACAGGUUCAUAUGGAUUUCUGACUCCUUCUACUACGCAAAUUCUUUGCGCCUUAGCCUGUGGAAUUCAAAUGGAAAGCCUAUCUAUACUAUGUUUCUAUUCUUUUUUCGGUAUAUUAAGGCCUUACAGAAUCACGAAUCUUAGCAAGCAUGUGUUUUCAUGUCCAUGAAAGGAAUCUUUUUCUCAAAGAAAUUUCCGUGUAGUGGUCCGAAGGACUUCUUUAUUCUAUUCCACUUGCUUGGUCCAUGAAAAGACACUUUAGUCCAAAAUUGGUAGAAAUUCAAAUGAUAAGAUAGGUUCCUGAAUAGUUCACAAUAGUUUAUAAAUCUAGAACGAAUCGUGAGCCGCUUCUCAUAUUUCAUGGACCCUAGCCCCUCGAAGCUUCCGUAGAGGAGCUGAGCCAUAGACCACAUCCUCUAGACGCGAAUAAGAAGAUCGGAAUUAGCAGGUUCAAAGAAUAUUGACGCGUAAGAGCUCCCCUUUCCUUCUUGUCUGUCUUCCCUCUCUGUGUAGUUGUCGGUAGCAGCUGCAGCUAUCGGCUUCCGGAAGAAUGGAAUCUGUGGCUGAGCUCCGCGGAGGGAGAUUCCUUUUCUUUCCUAAGAAGUGAGUCAGUCAGUCUUCCUGUCCGGCCGUAACCCCUGGAGUUUUGACUGUCGGUCUUUCUCCUUAUUCGAUUAUAUAAUCCAAGUUGGGAGGGCAAGCUCUUGCUCCGAUUCCCUAUUCCCGAUUCCCUAUUGGGAGCUAGCGGUUCACAAGGAGAUAUAAAAAAGGUCGAAGAACAGCCUUGGGACCCAAUCUCGAUUGUUCUAUUAGGCGCGAAUGAGGUAUUGCCUAUUUUAGUACUGAAUGUCGCAAAUGAGGUGGUGCUUCAGAAUAAACAGAAUUCCGUAAUUCGGAAUAGUAGGAUGAAGGGUCUGAGCUUUGUUGGGCAACCCGGAGCGCACUCAAAAAAGGGAGCGACUGCGGUUGCCCGCCUCAUAGCAUCUAUCUUUUCUUUUCCUCUGUCCCGCGUGGCGUUUACAGGGUUCUUUCUCAUCGCAAUAUUCUUUGCACCUUCGGUUCUUUCUUUCCUUUCAGUUGUUCCCAGUCUUCCCGUAUCUUGCUUUAGGCUUUCGCCUUUCACUCCUAAUCUUUCUUUAGGCUUUGUCCUUUAACUCCUAAUCAAGAAAUUGCAGUGAGUCCUCAUAUCCUCCGAAGAGUGAGUCGCCUCACUUCCCAAGCGAGACCCCUAUCUUUCCUAAAAAAGGAGUGGACCCCACUCCCAAGCUAAGCUGCUAAGCGUGCUCCGUCUCUCGUCCGAUGAGAAGCCUCGUGCCCUCAUCCUUUGCUUCUUCUAUUUGCUUUUGGAAUUUCCUCUUCAAGAUUAAGAGGAGCGGCUGCUCCACUUCCACGCUUAUUAGAACAUUGGACCCCAGGUCCUUGCCUUUAUUUCUUUUCAUAAAUAGAGGCCAUUGGAUUCAAUCCCCGAUUUCCGCUCUGUCUAUCCUUUGUAUGGAUGUGUCUUUGAGCUUGCGUCCGCCUGCCUGCCUCCUGGGAACUGGUAUUAGAGCACAAGCGAGUAGGUUGAGUUGGCACUUUUGGAAGACUCGGUAAUCUGUAGAUAAAUAGGGUCCCUUUGCCCUUUCCUCGUUCUAAUAGAAGAGAAAAGGCUUUCUGGUAGGAACAUCUGGGCAAGUCCAAUGACAUCGUAUUUCUCCGUACGAAACUGGCAUCUUUCUUCUACGAAGAAUUCCUUCACUCGAAUUCAGUUCUUGUCCAGUGGCGGGAACCCCUGGGCCUCUAGAAAAGCCGCUCUCUUUCGUAUGCACCACCACAAGGUGGCAACAAUUCUUCCCUCUUCAAUCCUUUUCAGGUGGGAGUAGAACUUUAAAGGGAAGAUCCUUUCGGACCGGACCAGGGUCCCGUCUUCCUAAAAAGAUAGGGUAGGUCCUUGCCUUUAUUUCUUUUCAUAAUGGGAACAUUUCUAUUUUGAAGAAGGACUCUUUCAUACUUAGCGUCGAGCUCUUUGCCCAUCUAAGAGUUUCAGAAGAUGAUUCAGGUAGGCCCCCGGCUUUUCCUCGUAGAGAGUCCUCUCUGCUACGUGGUCCUGAAAUUCGUCAAGUACCCAAAGAUCAUGGAAGUCAUCUGCGCCCGAGUAGUCACUUUUCCUUGAACCCGUGGUGUAUACCCUUCGCGCCUGCUGCAGGAUGCAGAUCAUUAGUGUUUUUUGGGUACUCGGCUCUCCGUAGAGAAAAAGUUGCCUGCUUUUUCUCGGUCUCUUUGAGCCCACUACGCGGUUGACGGCAAGCCAAUCCAAAAGAAGGAAUUUCUCGUCCAAGUCCUCCGGUUCGUAGGCCUGUUGCCAUCCGUGCUCCCAUAGGUAAUUGGGAAUUCUUUCCAUUUCAAUCUUCUUUGAACCUACUUUUCUCAUUCUGGAAUUCCCUCCAUAAGUGUUCUAGGAUAUUGUACUUUACCCAUAAGACCCCUUGAAGCUGUGGAUCGUUUAAGACGCUGCUCCACGUCUCGUGUAUCCGUAGUCUCCGAAGGACGUAGUCCACUGGCAUCGUCUUUUUCCUUCCACUUUGGAAGGCGGUCUUCUUCCUUGUACUUGCUUGGGCCUCUGCCAGAAUCUGUUGUAGGGAGAACUCUCCCCAGACGAAGGGUUCCUUGUUUUCCUUGGUGACGUAGUAGCAGAGCGAUCCCCACGCCUUAUGGAAGGUGACCCAGCACUGACUGCCCUCGAAUUCUGGGAAUGAGGUGUGACUUGUCAAUAUUCUUUGAACCUCCCUUUCGGCUUGGGAAAGAGUAAGUCAAAUGAAUCUCCGAAGAUUCCUUUCGUUCACAACAGGACACACUUUGACUGAAAAUCCCUUUUUUUCAAAAGAGAAAUUCAAAUGAUAAGAUAAUAUAGGAGCUUCAAUAGCUAACAAUAGUGGGGCAAUCUAGAACUAACCCGAAGGUCAGCGUCUUCUCAUAUUUCAUUGACCCUAGCCCCCCCGAAGCUCCCUUCAAGGAGCUGAGCCAUAUACCAUAACCUCUAGACGAAAAACUCAGAAAUAAAGAGAAUCGGGAAAAAGAAACCUGACAGAAAACCUUUCUGCUCCCUCUCUCUCACGCAAUAUUCUUUCUCACCUUCCCUAAUGGAUAGUCCUUCGGACCUGUCUUAUGGCGCCGGAGUUAGGUGCAAAGAAUAUUGCGAGACCUCCCCGGACAGACGGGUUAAUAUGGAUAGUCCGGAGGACCUGUCUGGCCUUCGGACCUGUCUUAUGGCGCCUGAGGACAGGUCAAAAGAGAAAAAAGUCAGAGUUUGAAUCGCCCGCUUAUUAGCUUGAACAAAAAGGGGGUAUGUAGGUAUUGCAAGAAGAAGGCUUGGGAAAGAGAGAUAGCUGCUAAAGCAGCCACAACGACUUCUCCUGUAAAGAAGGAAGUGAAGAAAGAAGAAAAGCAAGCGGAACCUUCUGAUCCCGAUCGAAGAAGUCAAGGGAUAGCUGUGAGGCUUCGGCAACUGAGAAUGCUGAACCCCUUAGAAAAAGAGUGAUAGCGCGCGUCCUACUUCAAGAAAAUCUCACGAUAAAAUAAGAAGAGGACCGAGUCUCGCUUCUUAUCUAAACUUAUACAACUUCUUUCUCUCAUCAAAUCCCCCGUCCUUCGGACAGACAGGCGCAAUAUUGCUCUCUUUAUAUAUUGAUUACAAUAUCCCUGUCUUAUGGAGCCUUGAUUCUCUCUCAUUCUUUUCUUCUUUCAUUUCAUUCUUGUUUCCGAUUCCGAAGUCAUCUUAUCUUGUGCUCAUUCUUUCAGUUCAGUCAGUUUUGCCGUGCAAACAGCGGCUGAGUUGGAGUCCAAGAUUCAACUAGCAAAAAGAAAUUUCUCUUAAUGUAGGAAGAGGGACUUGCUCGACGGAGGUGUAGAGGGACGCCCCUAACUCUGAAUAUGAGUAGGUUCGGUUCGGAGCCUCGUUCUUCCUUUGAUAACCCCUUGUUGGUUAAUAUAUUGAAUUCGGGAAGUGGUAAGUAAGAAUCUCACAACAAGUGCUGAAACUGAUCACUUCUCCUUCAACCGGCACUGGUUGCUAGAACCACCGCCUCAAUGAACAUGAACAAGGGGCCUCAAGACCGGAUGGGAUGGUCCGUCCUCCCUCUUCUUCGGGAAGAACUAAUGAAAGCCGAGCAUUCCUGCCUUUGAAAGAUAGAAAGAAAGAGGCCUCUCGAAGCCUCCUCAUGAGGCGCCUUUCCCUGAUGCUUCCUUUUGUUUUGGGGACCAGCGGUGGGAGUUUGUCCUGCACACGAGCCCUUUGACUUCCUCUUUAUUUACGGAUCUAUUGUAUUUCAUCCACUGAUCUAUCCUACUUCUUCAUCUACUACCUUCCUCAUAAUUGCUUUUCAAUAAAGCGACUUCCAAACCGGGGACGAGACGAGACCAAAGCCUUUCAAUUCUCGGUUUCAGGUUCGUAUCCAGAAUAGGCUUUUUCUAAGUUUCCCCGAAGAAGAGAGGAGAGGACCCCCAGACCCAUAAGUUCAGGAGAUAGGCUCGAGAGUUAAGGAGAGGAUCGAUGAAAUCCACAGGUCGCAAUAUGCGCCUUAUCAAUGAUCUUUGCUCCUCAAGAGGUGAAAAGAAUAUUUCAGACUUAGAGGAGAGGUUCCAUAAGACAGGGAGGGGCGGCUCGCCGACGAGAUUUUUUAGAGGGAGAGGCGCAAAGAAUAUUGCGGAAAAGAAAAGAAGCUCAUUAACGACUACUGGAUAAAGAAGUCCUUCGGACGGAACAUGGGAAUACAAAAUAAAGAGGUGAAUAUGGGAGAUUUCAGACUAGUCCUUCGCGGAGGGAAAUACAAGAUUUUGCUAGGGCUCGACGAUAAGGAGAGCUGAAAAGAGACUGGUCCGGAGUCCGGAGUCCGCAGGGCCAAAGAAAGGUCCAGGGUCCGGAGUCCGCAGGAUUUAUCCUACGUCCGGAGUCCGGAGGAUUCUUAUCCGUAGGACUAUCCAUUAGAAGUAGGACCAUCCAUAUGGAAGGAAGUAGGACUAUCCAUUUUCAGUCGGACUUUCCGUAAUUAACCGAACUUUGCGCCUUUGUUUUCCAGCUUUCCCUUUCCAGCGGAGGGAGCGGACACCGGAACCUUAUUCCCACCAACGGAGGGGAGCGGACACCGGAAGCUCCGCGGAUCGGUGGCUUCGCCCUUUACAUUUUCAGCGUAGCAAGGCGCAAAGAAUUUGCGGGCUCUCAUCUCAAACUGUAUGAUGAAGUCGCUCCGCUACGGGGUAGCUUUCGCUCCAAGAUCAAAAAGAUAGAGUAGCUACGCGUAGGGGCACAAUCCAAGCAGAUGAAGGAAGUCGCUCCGCUCCCUCUGGCUCCGGGCAGAUUAAGUAGCUACGCUCUCAAUAAAGAUAGAGUCGCUCCGGUCCUAAGUAGCUUAAUAAGAAGUUUCAAGAGCAGAGUCGCUACGCGGAAAGGAUAAAUAAAGUAGUUUACGGCUCUUUCCGCUACGCUUCUGCUCCUCGCAAAUUCUUUCCGCCUCGCAUAUGCGCCUUCUAUAUAUUCUUUGCACUGGGGGAGGGGGGAUUUGAGUUCUAAUAUCAUUAUCUUAUUAUAUCUUUUCAUCUUUUCUUCUUCAUAUCUUCGACUUACUUUUUCAGGGGAAGAGUGCGGAGAAGCGAUUUAAUCUAAUAGGAGUGCAAGUGCAUUUUUAGAUGCUCCCUAUUUCAAGAAAAAGGUAGUAAAGCUAAGCGAUCGACCAUGAGUGCACAAUUACGGAAUCAGUCCUCACAGGACCUUGUUUUCGCGAGUGAGCCCGGGAGUGUCUUCCGGAAUCGAGGAAAUUCACCUUUUUGAAGUUACAGUCUCGCAGUUGAACUCCUCUCCGCUCUGGUCUCGCUUCUGAUCGAAAGUCAACUUCGUCAAAGGCCCUUGCCUUCUUACAAUUAAGGAUAGUGAUUCAGAGUUGAUACAGUCAAAAUCAAGCGUGGGUGGUCUCGACUCAAUUCCAUCUCGCCUUUCUGCCUCUUUCUCUUCCCUUUCUUCUGAUCCUUUAUUCCGAUCCGAAAGAGAGAAUGAAAUGAAAGAAUAAGGAAUAAUCCCACGAGGCGAAGCUUGGACCGCUCUGGCGGACAAGUGCUACAGAGCAGAAUCAUAAUAGACAAGGAACUUUCAAGCUCAAGGGAUGGGAUGCCUCUCCAACUAGUAGGGAGCUGCUUACUGCGCUUCCUUCUAACUUCUAACCUGGCGCCUUGACCUUCCUCGUCACGGGAUCCCACGUAGGGGGAUGGCAUGGUAGCGAUGGGUUCUAGAACCGAUAUAUAUAACCUGCUUUCCCUCGGCGCGUCUACUUUCUUGCUUACCUGACUGAAGAUUGACGAGAAAUAGCAGCAAGGCCGCAUCCUCUUUCUCUCUCGCUUUCCAGCGAAUCAUUUUCCCUUUGGGCGGAGGUUUCUCGAUCAUCAUUCCCUUGAGUAUGAAAGAGCAGACUAAAGCAGCGGUCUAAUUCCCCUUCCCAGGCAGGCAGUCUCUAAUUAGAAUCCCAGGAUUCAGCCGAGAUAAGUUAUGCAUGAAAGAGCCUAACUAAAGAAAUGAUUAUCGCAUGGGCGACCUCUAUCCCGAUCGAUUCCCCCUCAGAGUCGAGCCGCUUUCUGAGUCGCCCUACUCCUUCCUGGCUGCAGAUACAUUAUUGAAUGAGAUAUAUGACUGGGGCCCCACGUAGCGGUAGGAAUUUGGAUGCUUGCCCAGUCUUUUGAGGAAAACUCUUUCCCUUGGUUCUCUAUUGCCUAUGGAUGAACGAAAGCAAUGCUUGCUAUGACUGGCAGCACUCUUCGAGUCACUUUUAUUAGAUUUGAAAAUCUCAAAGAAUGCAGUUUAUAGAUAAAUAAGAAAAGCCUUAGGAAUAAGGAUCUCAUUCUCUCGCUUUCUACUACAACUAAAGCUACUGCUACUUCUCGAAACAUCAACUUCUUCGGAAACCUCCCUUUCAAAGAAAGAAGACUCCGCAUCCGGAAUUGAGUAAACUCCAUUGGUCCAACUCGAAUGAGGGUCAAUCUUUGAACCUUUCACAGCAGCUUCCGAUUGAUCCGGAUGGAUCUUACCUUUAUGCCUGGUAAAUGACCUCCCCGGACCAGUUUCCUCUUGGCAAACUCGGUGGGGUGGAGGUGGAUCCCUCUUCUUCCUCUUUAGUCCCUUUCUCAUUCCUAUUGAGCGCCACGGACUCUGUCUCGAUUCCCUUUCUGCCAGGAAAAGAAAAUGCAAACAAAGCGCUUCGUACUUCUCCCGAGCUACUAUGAAAAUGGACUUUUUACGUUAUUAGAUCAAAGUCUCUAUUUACGCUAUUUUUAGUCAUUUUGGAAUAGUCCGAAGGCGCAAAGUUGCGUCCUAGGCUUGAUGAAUGAAAGCUAUAAAAGCAGAGCGCAAAGAAUUUGCGAAACAAGUCCUCCGCUUUCGCCUCAAAUUAAUGGGAACCUUGGUCUAAUCAAUCACAAUUGAUUAAGAAUCUUUGACCCGUCCUCCGGACUAUCCAUUAGGAUCUGGAGCCUUUGUUUUUGGAGUAUUAAGACCGCUCCUUUCAGUUAUUUAACAGCUUUUUUUCGGAAUAAUACUUUGAUAGUGGAAUCAGACUUUUUAAGCUAAAAUAAUGAAAGGCCUAUCCAUUAGAGAAUUUGACUUGCGACUAAAAAAAGAAAAGCUCUAACUCCUCCGGACUAUCCGUAUGAACCUAGCCUUCGGACCAGAUGAGUUGAAUGAAGAAUGAAUCUACCCUUUACCGCUAAAUAGGAGCAGCAGCAAAAGCAAAGGUCUAGAUUUUCUGACUCAUCUGGACCUUUCUUUGAGAAAACCAAAAUCAGAGCUAUCCCUAAUGUUCUUCUUUGAGCCUUCGGAGCGGGAGGGCUCCUUUUUAGUGGACGCUACUUGAUUAUGGGGGGAUGAGACCCAACUAUAAGACUCAAUCUUAGACUUUUCUUAUCUAAGGCCUAAUUAUAAGGCGCAAAGAAUAUUGCUCAUUUGAGAUCAGGUCCAUAUUAAUAUUAACCUGUCACCUGGACCUUUGUUUUCCUAAUUAGAAUAGCGAAUAGUCCUCCGCCUCUAGUUCCCACGUAGCUAAAGAUUCACCGAAAAUCUGAGCAAUAUUCUUUGGGCCUCUGUAGCUUAAUAUGGGAACCUAAUCAAUAUAUAAAGACUUCUUGAAUAUGAAUUCAUCCUCAUCUGGAGCCUCCUUUGUUUUUCUUUAAAGUAAUAGCUAUGAAUAGUCCAAAAACAAAGGUCCGAAGGCGCAAAGAAUAUUGACGAAAAGAAGAAUGAACUCAUUAACGAGAAUGAAAGAAGAAUUAUGAAUCUCCUAGAUUGAAGACGGAGGGUCAAAGAAUAUUGAGAAGAAUAGACCCGUAUUUCUCCGGACCAUAAACUCAAACUAGAACUGAGAAAUGUGAAUUUCGAAAAUCAAAUAGGACAAUGCCUUGCUAUUUCCCGGCUUUUUUGCUUCUAAAUGUGACUUUUUCGACUUAUCUUAUCUAACGAUAAAAGUACUUUUUUGACGGAUUUUUCAUGAUUUCUUGCUACUUUAUAGGCCCAAAACCUAGCAAAAUCUUGUAUUUCCCUCCGCGGAUUCAUCUGAAAUCUAGCUCUGAAAUCUAGCAGAUUCAUAAUUCUUCUUGACUUUUCAAUUCUCGUUAAUGAACUUCUCAACAAGAAAAGAAAGAAUUGAAUAUGGAUAAAGAAGUCCGAAGGACUGAUUGAUGCUACCGCCUUAACUACGGCUACUGCAACAACGGAAAGGGAUGCCUAAUCCUCAGGUCUCGUCUUCAUGAAAGGCGUGUCCUAGUCGAAUGAAAGAAUGCUGGCCUAUCAAAGAAAGAUCUCAUUCUCAAUUCUGAGACCCCUAUUAGUCCCCUAUGUUCCGAGGCUAGUCCUCCCCGUUCUCGAUCGAUUGAUACUGGACGGUGGGUGACCGCCUUAUCCGACCCCUGUACAUUAGUCGAUUUUCAUCCAUCGGUCAAAGUCAAAGAAAACCCAUUCUUCACAGGUUCACCAAAAAGAGAGGCAUUUCACCGCCUCAUCAAUAUUGUGAGAUUCAAAUAAAUUAGGCUUGAUUUGAUAUUGGUCAUUCUCGAGCUUACCACCGAGCGAUCGAAGGACGGAUUCAACCUCUCAUGCCCUAGCCUGCUGUUCCGAUUUCAAUGGCACCUACUUAACGGAUGAACUCAAGAAAGAAGAUUUCCGCUUUCUUUUAUGCAUCGCACCUCUGUUCUCGCUAUGUGCCUAUUUUAGUAGAAUGAAUUCCCUUGAACCAAUAUCCGAAGUUGCAGGCUCCCAUAAGACAGAGAUAUUCUUUGCCUUCCACUAAAAAACUUGUUUAUCCACUAUCGUAGGCCUUCUUCAAUUCAAUGGGGACCCUAGUGUACGAGCCUAAUGCUCUUUAUUUGCUUCUGCCGAUUCCCCGCUUGGAUCAGACAAGGCGGUAGAAGUUUGACGGAUAGUCAAGGAUCCCUCUUUCUGAAAGUAUGUCAAGAGCAUACUUGAGCUCAGAAAGACACACACCAUGCUAUCAUUGAUCUACUGAAAUGCCAAGUCUGGAAAUCUUGUUAAGAAAUGAUGCCCACUACGCGGUUGCGGCUCUUGAGCUGAGCCAGUUUCGAUUCUAGCCGUUCUUGAUUUCGAUAGGGAAUGAAAGGCCUAAUAACCUUGAACUGGUCGAAAGGAUUGAUGUAUUUCCAAGUCAAAAGAGAAAUCACGCUAUUCAAGCUGAUCGAAACUAAGCCAAAGACUUCAACGCGAACAAGAGCGAGGGCCUAUCCGGGAACAACCUGUCCUCCGCUCUCGCAAUAUUCUUUGCUCCUUACUAUUUUUGCGUAUAUACCCUUGUUUUUCUUCCGCGCCUACUCCGAUCAUUCUUUGAGCCUCCGUAGGUCCUCUCUUUCUAGGUCAAUGCAAAUUCAGGCUCAAGAUGAGAUUCUUUCUUUUUCCAUAUUAACUUCUUAAUGGUAUACAAGAAAAGGAUGGUAAAAUAAUGGUAUACAUGGAUGAAAUAAGCCAAAGGCUAGAGGGUCAUGAAUAAGGCGUGAAAUUCCCUACCACUGUGAUCUAGCAACUUCUACUGCAACUAAGACUUAUGAAAGCGACCGCUGCCACAAGAAAAGCUAGGACCCGCCCGCUUCCUCCUGUUUAGCUCUCACCUUUCUCUUCUCUCGACUUCUAAGUCUGAUCAAUUCUCAACUCAUCUGGAGCUUGAUUUUUCAAUUCUGUCGAGGUUAAGGCUUUGCUUCGCUUCCAUCGAUCCGCGCCCUACGAUUGAUCUUACCCUAGCUUACUCCCCUAUUCACUCACACCUUCAGACCUCGGUCCCGAUCUGGUCAAUCCAAUCAAUCCAGUCGAUCCUGAAAGCAUUACAUACUUGAUUCUCCUACUCUCAUUCAGUUACUCUUUGAGUCUCUCAUGAAAGAAUGAAAUACCUUUCCGCCUACCCACCCGGAAGUCAAAACCUAUCUUUAUAGAAGGAGGCGCCAUAAGACAGGUCCGAAGGACUAUCCAUUAGGGGAUUGAGAGAGAACUCAAAUCAAAACCGAUGUGAAUUCAGGCUAAAAUCAAGGCUUUUGACUCCUCGCAAUAUUCUUUGCGCCUGUCUGUCCGAAGGACGGGAUAUUCUUGCUAUUACUUUGAAAACAAUGUAGAUGUAGAAAAGAUUCCACAAAUAUUUACGGGAGAGUAGGUAGGUCGGAAGGGGGAAUCUCAGCUCCCUCAAGAGGAAAGGAAUCGUCCGAGGCAGUGGAAGUCUACCUUUCAUCAUCAGAGGCAGAAGUGGUCAGUCGUAGUUGUAGUUCUUCUUUCAGUUGCUUUAGUUCUUCCAGGAGAAGUAGCUUAGUAGUUCGAUCGAUCGGGUGCGGUUAUCAGAAGCUCUCCUGUAGCCGCUCGACUUGAGAGGGUCCCUCUCUCUCCUAUUCACACCGCCUCAAUGGAUCUCUCUUUCUCCGCAACUAAUAUUUCAUUGAGCCUCUCUCAAAUUCUUUGAGCCUUCCGAAAGCAAGAUAAAAGAUAGGAGAGUUGGACAAAGCAAGAACUCAGAUAGAGGAAGAAGACAAAUUAUCCGUUAGAGGAAUGAUCCGUAGAAAGAUUAUCAGCUAGGGAACGGAAAGAGUUGGAGUCUGUAUUCUCUGGAUCGGGUAGAAUCUCCAUUCAGUCCCGUAAAGUAAAGCUGCUGAUUAAGUAAGAAAGGCCGAGUUCCAUAUGAGGGUAGACCGAGUUGGAGCCCUUGCUCCUCUUCCUGUGUGAGGAAGGUUGCCCUUGUUUUGUUCAUUGAGGCGGUUCUUGCUGCUAUAAUAAUAAGAUCAGACUUCUCUUCUUCGAUCGGUAAGCUCCUUAUUCAUGAAAAGGCGGAUUUCUCUUUUUUCUCUAUUUGGGCAAUGCUUCUUGUUAAAGACUCUUUUGUGACUCUGAAAUCAAGGGGUCGAUGAAAUUGACGGAUUGAGCCCACUCCGCGGGAAGAACUUAUCCACGAUCUUACAAUAGACCUGUCAGUAUCCGGACCAUAAACUCAAACUAGAAGUCUGAAUUUCUUUUACCUGUCCUAGGCUUGAUUCUUUCAUUGCAAUUUCCCGGCUUUUUUGCUUCUAAAUGUGACUUUUUUGAAGAUUGAUAUUUAACGAUAAUUGAGUGAAAAAGAAGGCAUUUGACUUGAUUUCUUGCUACUUCCCUAUGGGCAAAACCUAGCAAAAUCAUGUAUUUCCCUCCGUAAAAACAAGGUUAUGAAAUCUGAAUUAUUCUUGAAUUCGAGUUAAUGAGUUAAUUCUUCUUUUCUUUUUUCUUGACUUUUGUGCCAUACCAUAAGACAGGUCCUCCGGACGGUGCAAAGAAUAUUGCGUGGAACUGAAAAGAGCGCGUAGUGGGGAGCAGUUCAUUUAGAGACGACGGAGCACUCCUCUUGAGUCGUUUUCUCCCUUUUCAAAGGAGUCUUAUUCCCCAAAAUAGGAGUAUUCAGAGUAGGAGCAAUGACGAAAGGAUGCAGAUGCUCCCUAGUUGGAAGGUGGGCUUUCUUCUUCUUCUUCUUCUUCCUCUAAUUCAUACUAUAUUACUCUCUUCUUUCUUUGUAUGUAAUUUAGUAGGUUCUUGUCUUUUAUUAAGUUCUUAGGGGAAAAAUGUGCAAAUUGGACCUGCAAGAAAAGACCUCAAAAUGGGUUCCCCAUGUGCCGUGCCCUCCCAUGGGGCGGUCGAGCGAGUGCCUCUUACCUCUUUUUCUUCUGCUUUUCUCGUACUAAUGGAUGGAAGAGACUGCCCCACCCAACUCCAGGCUGAUCUUCGGAAACGGACUUUCUCACGGGUUGAAGCAAUGAAAACAGCUGUUCGUUCCUAUUCUCCCUAGCUUCGAAUGGAACUCACUCUGCCUGGGCACCUCUAUUUUAGAAUUACCUUUUAGAAAAGAGGCUACUUCUGCAGCCACAAAAGCAGCUAAACCACUCCCUAUUCCAAUGGAUCCGUCCUCAGUCGCAAAGUGAAUUUCUAGGCGAAGCGAAGGCUGAAUUCAUUGAGUUGCGGCUAUUACUUUGAAGAUAAGGAAGAAGAAGAUCUUCUUUCUCAGCCGAUACAGGCCUUGAAGCCUCAACGGAGACGGGUGGACGGGCACUGGGGUAACUCUCCCGUAGAUCAGUCUAUGAGCCUUCCUUAUGGUUGGGGCCUUUGUCCUUAUGGUGGGAGCUUGUCCCUCUUGUACGAGAGCAGGUAUUCUACCGCUACGUGGGUUACUGAAUUUGCGGAUUUAUGAUUCCGUAUUUCAUCCAUUUUGACUUGUUCAUAGAAAAUAGUCUAAAUAAUAGCUUUUUUGGAAGGGCCUGCAAAUAGCCACGACUUCUGCCACAGAGACAAGGACUAAAGGAUAAGCACUGCUGGUCGAACUGCCGGUUCUGGGUCUCGUCUUUGGUACUCUUUGGGGCAGAAACCUAUAUACCUGGGAGGGACGAAAGAAGGCGCUUAAAGCCUGAGCCUCUUGUUGGUAGGGUCUUCGAAAGUAGAAAGCCACUACGCGGUGAUCUGGGGCAUACACCUCUCUUUAUGCAACGAGAAAAGAGUCCAUAAACCCCGUUCAUGAAAAAGUACUCUUUCUUCUCUUUUCUCUAUUUAUAAACGAGAUCACGAGAAUGAAAAACAAGGGAUUGGACUAGUCCAUUGUUCAUUUUCCCUCGGCCCCAAACUCAGGAUCUUCAGGCCCACGGAGCGGUUUUGGGCAGCAAGUCUUUCUCUUUUACGGAUCUAUAAUGUAUUCCUCUUUCUUCAGAGUAAGCAAGCUACCUUCUUUUAGUAGCGAAUCCGGAAUAGGUCAUCCGGAAACUGGAAAGUCUCCCGUAUUCAGUAAAUCUCUCUCUGUUCUCUCUAUCUCUCGGAAAGGGGCCAAGCAAUCCUCUUCCACGCAAUAUUCUUUGCACCUCCUUCCUAGAAAUCUUGCUUCCUGCUUAGCAGUCUGACUUCUUUACUGGUUCCGCUUCCCUUCUUUUAAAAGAUACUAGUUCCCGUCCUGAUCUCUCUCAUGAUAAAUAAGUCGUGAAGGUCAGAUGGUGGGGCAGUCUAUUCCUAAUGCAAAUAUCCCCGGGACUUAUCUCACCAUUUCUCGUCCCGAUAUUGCUUAUCCUGUCCAUGUGCUUUGGUUAGCAAAUUAGAAAACUCACCUCCUUCUGUGAGGAGAUUCGGCCGGGGUGGGCUAAGCUAAUCAGCAGGCUUAUUCAGACAUGCUUAUGGACAGAUAUGGAUUCUAAACUUGAUUGGCUUAGGCUUAGUCGACCUACCUGAGGAGUUUUCUUCCUCUUUACGGGUUCUAACCGCUAGUUCUACCGCGUAGUGGGGUCAAAACCCGUCCUCGCAAUAUUCCAAAUGGUUGACGUUCCCACUUCCUUCCGCAUUCAAAGUAGCAGUCUAAUAAUAGAAGGAUCGAGAUGAAUGUGAAAGGUCACACCAAUAGGAAGCAGAUAAAGAAAAGAGGAUGAUAGCUCGAGAGCAAGAUUAAGGAUGCCUUGGUGGAAGAGUCAAGUGAGGACAGGUUGGGGUAGAAGGAGCAAGCGAGGCAGAAUUGAAAGGUAGAAAAGAUAGAGAAGAAAAAAGAGUUCUGACUUUCUUAUCGACUUAUAUCUUUCAAAUUAAUCUCUGAUUAUUUCAUUCGCAGAGAGAAAGAUCAAUGACCCACGGGGCAAGAGACUUAAGAAACUGAAGACGGAGUCAAAGCCUUAAAUCAAGACUGUCAGAGAGUUAAGGAAGAAUCCUUCUCCGCGGCUGGAUCGGAAGAAAGAAGGAAUAUAUGCUCGAUCUUCUUCUUAUUUUGAGUUGUGAAUAUCUGAAGAAAGGAGAGAAAGAGAAAGUCUGAAUACUCUAAGUCUUCUUCUCAUUCUUUUCAUUGAUAGCUUUCUUAUCUUUUUUGAUUAUAUUUUUGAUCAUAGAUCUUCGAGAUCGAGAUUUGGAAGAUUCCACACGCCACGCUUCCUCGCUUCGAUCAAGAUGGGGAACCGCAUUCAAUGGCGAAUGAUAGCUCGCCUCGCUCGGGUCCUUUCAAUCAGGUACAGGUAUCCUUUUAUUUACUUUCAUAAGAGAAGAGAGAAUGUGCAAGGGUAAGCAUCGAUCCUAAUCGUCUCGGGAUCUCUUCCCUUUCAUUCAGUUGAGAUCCGUCCGAAGGUGAAAAGAAUAUUGACAAGACUUCCAGGUGCGAAGGCGCCAUAAGACAGGUCCGAAGGACUAUCCAUUAGGGGAUUGAGUUGGGGCUAUUAUUUUGGUUUUGAGGGUGAAAAGAAUAUUGACAAGACUUAACAGGAGUGCAACUGAUUAAUGGAACUUUCAAUGAAAUAGUCCACCUUCUUCUUCUUUAUUACCGAGAUUUGAAAUGAAAGGCUACCGAGGUCUGCGUACGGGGGGUUUGGUUUGGGCAAUUCCACUUUGUCUUAAGAAUCCCAUUCUCAUCUCAGCCUCGCGAGCAUGACUUAGCGAUCGUCGCUUCCUACCUCAAAAUAGGAAUAUAAUAUAAUAAGAGAGAAAAUCUCAGACCAUCUCGACGAGGCCACUCGGGUCUAGAGUCCCCUCGACUUAAUAUAAUAAGAGAGGAAUUCAUUCUAGAAUUCCGUCUUACAAGAAUUUGAACUUUCAUGAUUCCACUCUGCACCCGACUGAAACUAUUCGCGCUGAACUCAGCUCCGGAACUGGUCUUGAUUCCCUUUCUGACUAUGCUAUGAGAAGGACUUUCUAUUUGUCUGGAUGGGAAACUUCCGCGUAAACUCGGUAUCCUCGGGUCCAUGAAAUUACCCACGGAUACUAUUCUUUCAUUACCGCUCCGUGGGCUCAGAGGCUACUUUCUCACGACUCCUUCCACUGGUCUUGAUUUCGUAUUAAUCGGUCCUGUGCGCGAUCGCCUGGUCGAACCCCUCGGCCGAUUCUCGAGUUAUUUCAUUCCUCUUCCCCAGCCUCAGCCUCUCGGGCUUUUAGUCUUUUUCUUUGUUAACGAAAGAAUGGAGGAUGCCUUGGAAUAUGCUCCAAAGUAUGAAAAGAAAAAAAACCUAGGCUCCUACUAAACGAAUAAGACGGAAGAGAACUGAGAAACCCCCAGCGAAAGCCUAUCCUCGACUCCUUGAGUCCUUCGUAGCAGUCUUUUUUCGCAUUCUCUUUCAUUCUUAGCAGCCCAGCUAUCAGGGGGCUCUCCCGUAAGCCUCAGAGAUUCUUCAUGGUGGCAGAGAUCUAGGCCCGAUUUACCUGACUAUACCUUAUUCUAAGGGCAAAUAAACCUUCUUAACCGGCCUUCUCUCUCAUUCAUCUUCCGGUGGAAGGACUAAUAUUAGCAAAGCAAAAACCUUGUCCAUAUCUUUUCUUCUCCUUUUCUUCCAAGUUGAUGGAAAUUCGAAAUCUUUCUUCUCUUUUCUUUCUAUAUAAAGGAUCAAUAAGUCCUCAUCCAUUUGGUGGAAGCCAGCCUAUACCCAAAAGUGCAUUUUUCUCAAUUCUCCCUCUCUUUCGUAAAGAGAGCUCUGAUCGACUUCUAUAACUCUGCACUCUUCCCCUGCACAUAAUCAGAUAUUCAGAAGAAAAGAAAUUAACUCAAGCAUAGUCAGAUUUGGAAUACUCUUUCAAUCAAAAGUGCUAAUUUGGAAAGAAGAAGGCUCGAUUCAAGAGUCCAAUGCGGCUACGUCUUCUUAGCCAGAUGAAGGUCAUAGGUCGGUGGGGAAUAGGGCAUGGCCCAGUUCAAAGCCCCGUGCAUCGCGCCUCGUCUCGACUUUCCUUUGUCCUUGGGGAUGGUGUGUGUGAUCUUUCUAUCAUCAAGAAUAUGUCAAGAAGAAGAGAAAGAAAAAAAAGCCUUAGACAGCAGACGAAGAGGAGGAGGGCGAGGGCAGGAUGAAAGAGAAAGAAGAUCUUCAGGACUCGAGGCGGAUACUAGGUUUUCCCGCUCCGUGGGCGACUUUGAAAACAUCCAGACUGAAAAGGAUUCAAAAUAAUUAAUUCGCACUAUAGAGAAGGAGUCUAUCUAAAUCUAAUCGGGACUUAGCUUAGAGAAAGAGAGCAUCCUUUAUUGGAAGUUUCCAUCUUAAUGAAAUUAAGGUAUCCUCUUCCCUCUCGGUUCUAGAACUCAGGAUUGGCGCGCGAGCGAACCCUUGUCCGGAAGCUCUUUCUCAUAUUUCAGAGGGGCGAAGCCAGGUAGGGCCCACGUAGCGGUGAUUUGACCACAAGACUUGAAUGGGAAAACCUUGCACCCGGCUGGGUCCUUCGCCCUAACUCCACUCGAGCUCCGAUCCCAGGAUCAUCAUCUGCGGCUAGGCUAAUUCAGUCAUGAAAGGAAGACAGCGGGCGAUAGGUUAUUUGUCCUCAACUCAUAUCUUAACUAAGACUUCUCCACCUUAAGAGAAAGAGAAGAGUUAUCGAUAGAGAAAAGUCAAUGAACAAGGCGAUCAGAAUUUGAGGGAGAGUUAUCGACUGCUUAUUAGAAUUCUUUGCGAGCCCGGUACGAUUUCUUGUAAUAUUAUAUUCUAUUUGAGUCCAAUGAUGAAAAGCUGUCAAGGGCGAUCGGCUAAUCGUACCACGUAAUCCUUGUAAUCGUGUGAGUCCACGAAUCCUCUCUUUCGGAAGAUCAGCCGAAACCGACCGGUCGGGGGUGUGAAGUAAAGCUAUCACUCAAGAUUCAGAGUGGGAUCUCCACUCUUCCCCACUACGCAGUGCGGCACAGGAAGAUUUUUCCAUUGAAUAAGAUUCAUUCCCCAUGCGUAUAUUCAUCACUCCCACUGGCGCAUUGAAAGCAAGGGCCUCGACCCAGCUAUGAGAUCUUUCAUUCUCAAUUAGAUAGAGGCGGAUCCGUCCCAGUUUGGAGAGGGUGCCUGUGCCGCUUGAAGUAGAAGUUCUUCGUCUUCUGGCUCGGUCCCAUCAGAGAUUGAGUCUUUUCAGGAUCAGUUCUUCGAUCGGUAAGCACCGCUACGUGGGUCACUCGUCGGCUAAUAGCCAACUACCUGCGAAAGUAAUAAGAAGAUAUUCAGAAGAUCUAAGAUAAAUAGUCAAGAAUGUCUUCGUCAUCAUAUAAGGAGAAAGUCCUCUUCAUUCUUAAUAAGAAGAUAUUCAAAAGCGGACUUUCGUAUUAGUUCCAUUAAUCAGUCCUCCUUUGUCUACAUAGGUAUUAUGACUCAUCUGGAUACUUUCUUUUUAGUCCUUCUUUAGUUCUCCGCAAUAUUCUUUGCGCCUACGUUAGGCUCCAUAAGACCGCAAUAUUCUCAAUCUUCAAAGAGCCUUUCCUCUUUUCCGCAAUAUGUGAUCGCCAUUCUCUUCUUUGCAAAGGCGGAAGAUCAGUCUUAUUCCAAUAAUAUCCGUCAUGAUCCCUUUAAAGCAGACGUUAGGAGCGAAAGCCGCUCGACUGUAAGGCUAAAUGUGGGGCGCAGUUAAGGCGCGAAGCGAAGCGCAUUUAUCUAAGAAGAGAAAACGAGUCAAGAGGACGGAGUGCAAGGCGCAAAGAAUAUUGCGACUUUGCGGGGAAGAGUCAUCAGCUAUCUUUCAAUCCACGAGGAAUAUUCGGACAGGUAAGAAAGAAGAGAAGAGGGCCCAGUAUGAAGGAAUUACAUAAGUUCAGCCCCUCGACGUAGAAGAGAAGAAGCUCCCGAGUCUGGCAGAAGGAGAUCUUUCAGAAGUAGGAGUUCUUGUGGGAGGCUUUACCGCUACGUGGGCCCUUAUCGAUAGGGCAUUGAAUGAGACCUAACCUUGAUUAUUUCUCAAUUUCCUGGCAGUCAAAAGAUCUCCUUUCUUUUUGCCUCGAUCGAUCGAAGGAAGAAGAAGCAACUUCUCCUUCUUAUUAAAUUCAAAGAAGGAGGAAGAAAGAGAUAAUCCCGCGGGCACCCUAGAUCAGAAUCAGAAGGUCAAUCAUCCGGGAGAGCUUACUCUUUCGCUUUCAGGUACCCUUACCGACCCCUUUCUUUCUCUUUCUGACCGUCCUCAAUUCCACCUCUGUUCUUGCUUUGCGCGCCUACUUCUUCAUCAUUCUAAGUUUCUUUUCUCUUUCUCUUACUCAUUACUCACCUCAACUCUUAUUAAGACAAUUCCCUAUCCCUUAACCCUACGCGCACCCGUAGGUCUCGCUCCUUCACACCUCUCCCGAUCCUUCUUCCUCUUCCGAAAGAGAAAAUACUCAAUCUGAAAGGGAAGUUUCUCCCUAUCGGUCCUUAUUUCUUAUCAAUUCAGGAAGAAGGACGCGCUCUCAUACUCAGAUUUCAGUGACUGAUUCCGAUGCGUCGAGAUAUGAUAAGAAAAAAUACGGGAAAGCUUUUUCAAUAUCUGAAAGACGGAUGCCUACUUCCACGGCAAACUUCUGACUUAACCUAUCGGUGGUCUGUCUAUUCUACCCUCCUUCUUUCUUAUCUUUCUCCUGCGGACCUCUUCCUCCGAGACUGGGACAGCGGAGUGGAGCAUUUCUUCCUUUUAUGACAGGCCGAUCGAUCCGAUUUGACCGGGAUGCUCAAUUUCAUCCAAAAAUUCAGAAUGAAUAAGAAAUCCCCUAUUUCUCUGGAUGGAAGUUGGAACCGCUCGGCCAUUGGCUAGUCAUUUCUUAGGGAGAAUAUCAAUUUCCCACCUAGCGGCCUCAAAACCUUUGAACUCUCUUGAUAUGAUAAUCAUGACUUAGAUAAGCAAAGUAGAGAAAAGAGAAAUAAAAUAAGUAAGGCUCAAAGAAGAUUUCGAAAAGAAAGACUCAAAAUCGAAUCAACGGCAAAUAAAAGAGAGAGGAAACCUACGAAGAAAAAAAGCUUUACUAAAGGCCUACGAAGCGAAGCCUUAUCUCUUCUUAUGUGGAAUCAGACGACUCCUUCUCCAGGCUAGGUGCUUUUCAAUCAAAAAAAUAGUUAUGAGGAAACUUUUCCUAUCUUAUGAGAUCUGAACCAUUCUUUAAUAAAAGAGAAAAGAAAGAUCAAGCCUAGCGAAGCGAAGGAGCGCAAACCAAAGGGUAUCUUUUCUUUCCGAAAUGGGACAUGAGAAGGAGGAGUCGUCUUCGUCUGCUUCGGUUCUUUCUCUUUUUUCUUCAUGCAUGAGACCGGAAGUCCUCCCCUGGCAAGGUCGGACAUCGUAAUUAACCAGAGUCGAAACCCAAGGUUUCCUCCGUGACCCCCUACAAUACCCUAUUAUUGGAAUAACUCCUAUCGGAGGGCUCAAGACGAGAAAAGAAUUCUCUCAAGAGAAGCUCGACUGAGAUGGACGAUCAAAGAAUAUUGAGAAAGAAUAUUGCGUGAAAAAGAAGGGUAAUUAUUACGCGGGAAGAGGUUUCUUUUCCCACGGUUUUGGCUCUUGCCCUUGUUGCAGGAGAUCUUGGAGUUGGAGUGGGAGCUCUCUAUUAUUGAAUAGAAUAUUCUAUUCUCUCAUUCUUUGAGCCUUUCAAAAUCAGGGUAAGGACGGAUCCCGCGCCAUAAGUAAGGAGACAGGGAAAGAGACCCAAGCAAAGAGAGUGGAUUGCUCUACCCACUACGCGGUUACGAGGCCUGGGCGAAAGGCUGGAGGUGUAGAGGAAGAGGUGAAAAGAAGAUUUCCGCGACCAAAGAGUCUAACUAAAGAAAGAGGUGAAAAGAGGAUUUCCGCUUGAUUUUAGCGGUAGGCUUUCCUUUUAUUCAGUAUUUAUUAGGUUACUUCUUCUCCUUUUGAUAGGCUUUCUUCCUUUUAGUCCUUUCAUGAGUCGAUCCGGGAAAGGGGCAUGAUCGCUUUCAUUCUCCCCGUUGGUCAAGGGGGAGGUGUCCCCGGGACGGAGUGCAAAUAGCUUAUUUCUGAAUUUCUUAGAAAGAAAGAAGCAUCUCGACUAGGAGCAAAGCAACUCUUCCAAUCCAUCUUGAUUGUAUAGGUUUCAUGAGAGGGGAAUAACUACGAAUGGGAACUUCAAGUUUUUGAAGUAGGAUCAGAGGCGGAUUUUCGGGCGGGGAGGCAGUCCCAGUUGCGAGUAAGUAGGAUAACCGAGAGGAGACAAAGAAGGCCCAUAGCUGGAUAACUAGGCAGACGAGGAUCGGAUAAGAUAAGAAGCUUUCUGCAUCCCACUUCUGCCACAGACUCUGACUCGUAAACUCCCUUGAACCUCGAGCUACUUUCUGACGAUUACUCUCUCCAGUCGCUCCUAAUCCGAUACAGGAGAGCUGCUUCUGCCAUGAGGGGUUCCCCUCGUUCUUCCCGAUCCCUCCCCGCGUAGGGGGCAUUGACUUGAUUGAUUCUGAUUCAUUACCGAAUUACCGAGAUGAUGGGGUCUGCGGGGAGAAAUUUGAUUCUUAUACGCCUUUCAAGUGUCAGUAGCGGUCCCGAUCGAUCGAAGAAGAACAACUUCUCCUGCAACGGACCCAACUCCAGAAGAAUAGUUCGCUGCUCUUGGUCCCGAAACCUUUGGUCUCUCCUUCAUUCCUCAGCCUUUGGCCCUUAUUCAUUGAUUCCUCAACGGGCUUUAUUUAUGGAUGUUCUUGGAACAAGGGGCCUCUAAACCUACUAACAAGAAAGCGCAACUUCUAUUUUGAUGGGACUUAUCCAUAUUUAUUAAGAGCAAGGCAUCCUUAAUCUUGGGCUGACAACGGGGGAAGUUCUUCACUAUAUGGGGCAAAUACCCUUCCCGCCGACCGUCGAUCCCUUGAAGGUGGAGCUACUGAAUUCCUCACCUCUGACGUCGAACCGGAUUCCUGUGUGUGGAGUCCCACUUCUAAUGCCCUAGCGCUUCCCAACCGAAUAAUCUAAUAGUUCGUGCUCGAGCAAUAUCAAUAUUCUAACCCCUUUCCCUGUAGGUCAAGCUCCUUCCCUCCUUUCCCAGCCUCUUUAUUUGCUUCUUCUCUGUACGCCUUCGCAGAUCUUCUUGGUACGGAUGUGCCUUUGCCUCUCUUCUAUGCCCGGUUUAGGGACGGAAGUAGCUCGACCAUAGGAAGAGGGACAAGCGCUUAAGAAAGAUAAGUUCCAGCAGGUUAGGAGGCGCAGCAGCAAGAAGGGAUCUCCGUUACCUGUGUUGAGGUUUUCUUUUCUUCUUGCAUUCUUCUUUGAAUUUCUCUUUUCUUGUCCGUGAGUGCUUUGACUCACUCUGAUCAUAAGUCAUAAGAAGCCCACGGAGGGGGACUUGUGAGACGAGAGGAUAGGGCUUCCUUCAUAUAUUCCGUAAUUUCAUUGAUUAUCGAGGAUGUUCCCAAUAGGGCUCGGUCUAAUUCCGCUGCCGAAAGAGGGAGAGCGGACUCUUUAUGUAAUAUGCGCUUUCUGGGUCAAGUCGGCUUAGCGUGAUAGGCAUGCGGAUCUGUCUUACUGACUGACUCAACUUCUUAGUCUUUUUCUUCCUUUUGCUGUACCAGAAGUCCUUGUUGAAGACAGAGAAGUUCUUACUCAAUUUCCUUUUCUGGAACUGAAAACGAAAAUAAUAGCCGCAAUAUGCGCCUCAAAGUAAUAGCUAUUCAAAGUCCUCCCUCCUGGACAAUAGCGAAUGUUCACCUUUUUGGGACUUUUCAAAUCAAAUAUGAUUCAUAGUCCUCCGUCCUACAGUCGUCUUAUUUCCUUAUCAAUGAGACGGAGCGGAGCCAAGUUCGGAACUAAUGGAGUUCCUCCAAAUAAUAGCUAUUCAUAGUCCUCUAAAAAGAAAAAUCAGAGCUCUUUGAGCCUUUGUUUUUGAAUCAUUUUUCCCCCUCUAAAAGAGUAAGCAGGUCCGAAGGACUGACCGCAGAGGCUUUUUGGAGCUGCUCCUCGUCUUUGCGCCUUCGCAUAUUGAAUUGCGCCUCCUACGCGCGUUAAAGUGGAAGGCAAUCGCAUCGCAAUAUUAUAUUCUUUGCUGCGCCUAACUCCAAAAUCAAGAAAGCACUACGCGGGUGAAUGAAUAUGAGAAGAAUAUUGCGGUUGAAAAAAGGCCUACUUUGAAGGAGCGGGUGAAUGAAUAUGAGAAAGAAUGAUCGAAGAAUAUUGAAAAAGGACAGGUCGAAACUAGGCUUUUUAUCUUUGACUCUUGAAUCAGGGAGAGCGGAUCCAGUCUUCCUUUCAAGUCUCCCUUCCUUUCUUCCCGAAAGCAAUGAAGGUAUAAGAUUCACCCAAAGGGCUAACUUCACUAGUUCCCUGGGAUCACAGAACUAGCGUGAAAAGACCGGGAGUCCUAGUCCACCAAAGCGUGCAGAUCCAUCAUGGCAAAGACCGGAUCUGAUCUAACUCUAAGAUAAGAGCGGAUUGGCCGACUGAAAAAGUAUGAAAAUCAGUUCCACAGGUCCGAAGGACUAUCCAUAUUAACCCGUCUGUCCGAAGGACCUGUGACGCCUUGUUCAUUGAUUCUUUUUUCUUUCAGUGAAUUAGAAUGUGGCUCCUCGACCGAAAGGUUUAUGACAAGUCUUCUUUCCUAAGAGUGAGUCAGUCGCUGUGGCAGGCACUAGUCAAAUAGGGGAAGUCAUAUGCUCGGGAGAGGGACAAAGGAAAGCGGGAGAGCAAGCCUUGCUCUUUCAGUUGCCGUUGAAGAAGAAGGCAAAAACAAAGGCGCCAUAAGACAGGUCCGAAGGACUAUCCAUUAGGGGAUGAGAGGCCUAUCCAUUAGAGAAUUUGACUUGCGACGUCCGCUUUAAGAGCCUAGAGGUCAUUCUUAGGGGUGCUUUCGUGGAAUCAUUUCAGAGAAAAAUCACUGUCUUUCUCUUUCUCACAAAGGACCGGAGAAGGGCCUGACCUCGAUCCGACCCGAAUGAGUUACCGGUGGAGUUCAGAGGCCCGUGCCCAAGUGAAAGUGAAGAUCAAGCCGCCUAUGGGCGGUUGUCCGUCUACAUAAGAGGAAGGAGGAUCCCUCGUCAAUUCUAACCACCAGAGGUUUGACUCGGUACACCAAUGGUUGGUUGGGACCUUUGAUCAGCUUGUCUACUUUCUUCCCCCAACUCUCACUCAUCUUCAGCCAAUUUCCCCAUUAACCCAAACCUCAAAUUCCGCCAUUUCUUAGGCAAAAUUCAGAAAAUGCAAGGUUUUGGGCCUCCUUUUGUUUUGAGCAUCUUUAUCCCCUUUAUACAAUAAGGCUCUCAUCUCACUUUUCAUUCAAAGGAGGUGGUUUUUCAGUCAAAAAACGACUAUUAGCAUAAGAAAGGAUAAGUCUCAUAUUUAGCUCAAAUCGUAGAAAAUGCAACCCACUACGCGGGAAUAAUCACAAGAAGAAGAAGACAGAAAAGGGAAGAAAGAGGUCCUUAUCUAAUGGGGAUCGUUGGAGUGGAAUAAGGAGCACAUGGUAUUGCUCUCAUUACAGCAAGAGAGAUAGCUGCCUCAGCAGCAACCAAGCUGAUCAAUACAAUAUUGUUAAUAAACAAGAACUUAUCCAGCUGAAAGAGAAAGGGGUGCCUACUCAUUCAUUGACUUUUGCCUCUUUUCCUUACUCACCGCGUAGUGGGGGUCCCCUUGUUCAUUGAGGCGGGGUGUGUCCUGUACGAGCAGCCGAUGCCUCAUCAAGCUUCUUCGACCCUUUCCUUUGUCCUCAGACUGAUCUGGUGGGCGCCUACCCUACCUUUCAGCCUCUUCCCAUCCCGUCCGAAGGACCUCCCAUAAAGAAGAGAAAGGUCCAGGCGCAAUAAGACAGGUCCGAAGGACUAUCCAUAUUAACCUGGCACCUGUGAAAAGAAAAGAAAAGAAGCUCAUUAACUCGAAUUCAAGAAUCAUUCUGAUUUCAUAACUCGAAUUCAAGAAGAAUUAUGAAUCUGCUAGAUUGAAGAGCUAGAUUUCAGAUGAAUCCGCGGAGGGAAAUGCUAGGUUUUGCCCAUAGGGAAGUAGCAAGAAAUCAUGAAAAUUCCUUCUUUUUCACUCAAUUAUCGUAGAAUAUCAAGAUGAGAUUUAGUCCUAUUUAGAAGCAAAAAAGCCGGGAAAUUGCAACUGGUCCAUUAGAAAAAUCUAGGGAAAAUCAAUGAAGACUUCUAGUUUGAGUUUCUGGUCCGGAUACUGACGGGUCUAUUCUGGAAUUCACUCCGUCUGCAAUCUCAAAAUCAAUGAAGGAGUACAAUGAACAUCAUAAUGAUUCUUUCAUUCGAGUUAAUGAGCCCGUAGUUAACCGGUCCUACGUCCAUUUAUCCUCCGGACUAUCCGUAAUUAACCGAAGGAGGACUUUCCGUAAUUAACCGAACUUUGAACCUGGGGGAGCGGUAAUGAAAGAAGACGCUGGUAUGAUGUCCAACCGAACCCAAGAAUGCUCAAGACGGAAGAUAAAGUCAAUGAACAAGGGCUCGACAGGAGGAACCCAUGAAAUGCGAGAGACUUUUCCCACCCAGUAGAAAGUGGGAGUUCCGGGAUUUUCUUGUCAGUUCGUCCUUUAGAUUAUAGAUCAGUCAUGCUUCGCUUUUGACUGCUAUGUCCCAAGUAAUCUUAUCGAAAAGCAUUGAAUGAGCACUUGAACCUCGUCUGUCCCCCAGGAAUGAAGACAUUGAUUCCGGUACAAAGGCCUACUGAGAGGCAUUGCCUAUAGCACUGGCAGGCACAAGACCUUAGUGAAUGCACACUUUUCAUAGAAUAUCACAUUCUGAGAAAUCAGGACUAAGAUUGUUCAAAGGUUGGAGUAAGCGUCUUGACAUCAUCUCAUCUACUCUUUCUUUGAACUUGGAGGGACCGAAGAGCUUUACCAUCCCGGAGGAGGAGCAAGGAAUUUGAUGUUUCUAUCCAUUUCCUCAACUAAGUAGAAAAACGGGGAAAGUAGUUUCAAGAGAAAAAAAAAAGAGAAAGAUUCAAAGGUGCCACUUAAUAGAAAGUCGAGCCACUAUUAAUCCUUAAACUGCUACAGCCACGGCUUUCCCUUUUGUGUGAAACUUCCCUUUAAGCCCUUUCCUCAACAGCACUUGUCACAAUGAAAAGAUUUAGAAUAAGCAAAGCCUAUCCUCCUCCAAGAUAAGGAUGCCUUGGCUUCGUUCCGCUCUCAAAUGCAAUCUUUCUCCCACCCAACCGCCUCAAUGAACAAGGGCUUCCGGACGGACGAGGAUUGAUGGAUCCCCGUAUUGAAAGGUAAAGAAAGAGACCGAGGCCUACCCUACUGGAAAGCGUAUUGAAGUUACCCAAUAUGACUGCCUUUGCUCGCGGGUAAAGAAAAAGAGUUCGAGACUUGGCAUCUUAAUGGAAAGGAUUGAGAAAGGCAUGAAAGGCACCGGCGCUCCUCAAGGUCAGGGUCGUCAGACCUCCCUCUCUUAGUCUCGCAGUUCCCCACGUAGCGGUCCGUCCUACUCGUGGUAGAAUAUGAGCGGAUUUCUACCAGCGAGAACAGAGCAGAUUUUCCCGAUUCAAUGAGUAGAAGGGAAGGAAGCUCAUCCGGGUACGAUCUCAGGGAAGAGGUUCAGUGUGCCCAGCAGAAAGAACUCGCGCUAUUAGCACCCGACUGGGAUUAUCUCGUGAAGCUCUAAGGAGUGGCUUCGCUGACCUCUGGGACGGAUGCCUUUCUCAAUCUUCUUUUCACCUCCCUCACUCAUUUCGUACUCAUUCAAUCUCUGUCUGUCUAUUCUCUCUCUCUCUCGACUUCGUAAACCUAGAAACUCUCACUCCUUCGCACAAACUCAUAAUCGGAUAUUCAGAUGCGAAGCGAUUCCCGCGAAAGUGCGAUUCAUUAUUUCAUAAAAAGAUAUUAAGAAGAUGAAAUUCUAAAGCUCUGAUAUUCAGGUUAAUAUGUCCUUAUCAUAUCAAUGAGACCAGUCCGGAGGACCUACGGAGCAAAGUUCAAAAAGAAAGGUCCAGGCGCAAUAAGACAGGUCCGAAGGACUAUCCAUUAGGGGAUUUCGUAGAUCCAUUUCAUUUAUGGAAAUAAGGGUCAAGAUGCUAGGUUAAUAUGGAUAGUCCGAAGGACGGGGGAUUUGAGAUUAGAUUGGAAUUUUCAUAGAAAACCACUCAAAAUCAAGCCUAUCAGAGAGGUCAAAUAGCAAAAUAAAGAGCCUGCCUAUUGGCGGAAGGGUUCAUGAAAGUCGGGGAAAUGGAAGAAAGCGAACUCCCUUGAACAUCUGCACCCUUGAUUUGAUUUAGACAUCUAGUUUCUAUCUUUUCUCUCUAAAAUAGCUAAGAUGCGCUAGUCCUAUUCUCUUACUUAAAUGAGGCUACGGCUGUAGAUUGAGAGUGGAUUUCUGGGGAUUCAAUUCAAGAGAAAGGGAUGCCUCUGUCAAUAUUCUUUGAACCUGCCCCCUUUCUUUCCUUUGAUUCUAACUCUGACUCAUGAGACUGAUUCCUCCGGACCCUACUAGCCCUCUUAUGGGAAAGCAUAUUCAAUCCGCUGGGUAAAGCACCCAUUCCUUAGUUUAGGGUCGAGCUCAAUCUCCAAUCUCCAGACCGGAAGAAGUUUAAUAUGGAUUUCUCAAUCUGAAAAGAGCCUUUCUUCUUUUCUUAGAUAAAUGCGCUUCGGGCCUUCGUAGCUUAAUAUGGGGAUGAUCUUGGGUGUGGUCUGAACUCAAUCCGGCCCCCACGUAGCGGUCGAGCAACCUUGUUCCACGAAAGAACUGACUUCAGGUCCUAGUUCCAUAUCAAAGCGCUUUCCUUUGAACAUAAGGAAGAAAAUCCUUCUACGCGAUUAGCAUGAACUUCUCGAAGAAUUCUUCUGCAUCCAAAUUGACUCUGAAAAAGGACCCAUUGAAAGUCAAAAGCCUUUUGCCUUAUCAUUCAUACGAGCUUCUACUGUACCGCUCUGUGGGACCGCGGAGUGGGGGUCUAGCUAUCCUACUCUAUAAUGAAUUGUACUAUAGAAAAGAUAGUGAAACUACCACGGAUCUCGCUUCUCAAAUUCUCAAUAUUCUUUGUCAAUAUGCCUAUUUUUUCGAAGUCUUAGUUCCAUUAAUCAGUCCUUUCAGUUCCAUAAGACUCAUCUGGAGCUUUUCU